UACGAAGGGUGCAAGCGUUGUUCGGAUUUAUUGGGCGUAAAGCGCAUGUAGGCGGAUUGGUAAGUCAGGUGUGAAAUCUCGGGGCCUAACCCCGAAACUGCGCCUGAAACUGUCGAUCUAGAAUCUUAGAGGGGGAAGGGGAAUUUCUCAUGUAGGGGUAAAAUCCGUAGAGAUGAGAAGGAACACCAGUGGCGAAGGCGCCUUCCUGGAUGAGUAUUGACGCUGAGAUGCGAAAGCGUGGGGAGCAAACAGG
rnacentral:rRNA from 1 species